UACGUAGGGCGCGAGCGUUGUCCGGAAUCAUUGGGCGUAAAGAGCGUGUAGGCGGCCAACUAAGUCCUGCGUGAAAUCUCGGGGCUCAACCCCGAGCGGUCGUGGGAAACUGGUUGGCUAGAGUGCGGGAGAGGAGAGUGGAAUUCCUGGUGUAGCGGUGAAAUGCGCAGAUAUCAGGAAGAACACCCGUGGCGAAGGCGGCUCUCUGGAACGCAACUGACGCUGAGACGCGAAAGCGUGGGGAGCAAACAGG
rnacentral:rRNA from 1 species